rnacentral:rRNA from 1 species
AAUGAACGCUGGCGGCAUGCCUUACACAUGCAAGUCGAACGGCAGCAUGACCUAGCUUGCUAGGUUGAUGGCGAGUGGCGAACGGGUGAGUAAUGCAUCGGAACGUGCCUUUUAGUGGGGGAUAACGUAGCGAAAGUUACGCUAAUACCGCAUAUUCUCUGAGGAGGAAAGCAGGGGACCUUCGCGCCUUGCGCUAGAAGAGCGGCCGAUGUCGGAUUAGCUAGUUGGUGGGGUAAAGGCUCACCAAGGCAACGAUCCGUAGCGGGUCUGAGAGGAUGAUCCGCCACACUGGGACUGAGACACGGCCCAGACUCCUACGGGAGGCAGCAGUGGGGAAUUUUGGACAAUGGGCGCAAGCCUGAUCCAGCCAUGCCGCGUGAGUGAAGAAGGCCUUCGGGUUGUAAAGCCCUUUCGGCUGGGAAGAAAUCGCACCCUCUAAUACAGGGUGUGGAUGACGGUACCAGCAUAAGAAGCACCGGCUAACUACGUG